rnacentral:rRNA from 1 species
ACACGACUACAUUAGAUACCCCUGUAGUCCCAGCCGUAAACUAUGCGCGUUAGGUGUAUCGGUGACCACGAGUUACCGAGGUGCCGAAGGGAAACCGUGAAACGUGCCGCCUGGGAAGUACGGUCGCAAGGCUGAAACUUAAAGGAAUUGGCGGGGAGCACCACAACAGGUGGAGCCUGCGGUUUAAUUGGACUCAACGCCGGGAAGCUCACCGGAUAGGACAGCAGAAUGAUUGCCGGGGCUGAAGACCCUGCAUGACUAGCUG